rnacentral:pre_miRNA from 1 species
AAAGUACUCCCUCCGUCUCAAAAUUCUUGUCUUAGAUUUGUCUAGAUACGGAUGUAUCAAGUCACAUUUUAGUAUUAGAUAUAUCCGUAUCUAGACAAAUCUAAGACAAGAAAUUUGGGACAGAGGGAGUAGUUG